rfam:Lactobacillus manihotivorans DSM 13343 = JCM 12514 strain DSM 13343 NODE_25, whole genome shotgun sequence.
GUGCUAGUAGCUCAGUUGGAUAGAGCAAUGGUCUUCUAAACCAUUUGUCGCGGGUUCGAAUCCCGCCUGGCACA